CUUUUAUUAAUAUGGGGUCUGCUACGUCGGUGGUGUUAUGGUGGUGCAGCUGUGCAUUUCAUGGCUGCCAUGCUGUCGCUUGCAUCGAUUCAAACCUGGGCUUAUAAGAGGCUUAUAUUACCUACGUGAGCAUACAUAUACGCAUGUAUGCCCCCCGUGCAUGCACCUAUGUACAUGCACACCAAUGUACACACGUGUUGUAUCCUGCCGGACAACGUAAAGGAAAUUUCUGUGGGAGAGAACGAAAUUUGGAUGGGGAAAAUCACAACGCCACAGUUUCCGUAGGAUGGGAGGAGCGUUAAAAUCAUCUCGUUGCAGUAUAUUUGAGAGGAGAUACGAUCGGUGGUAUAUACGGCGGGAUUUCAAGGUCGCAGACUGCUGCACCAAG
rnacentral:lncRNA from 1 species